GACGGGGCCGCACAAGCGGAGGAACAUGUGGUUUAAUUCGAUGAUACGCGAGGAACCUUACCUGGGCUUAAAUGUAGAGUGCAUGAUGUGGAAACAUGUCUUCCCUUCGGGGCUCUCUGCAAGGUGCUGCAUGGUUGUCGUCAGCUCGUGCCGUGAGGUGUCGGUUAAGUCCCAUAACGAGCGCAACCCUUAUCGUUAGUUGCCAGCGGGUAAUGCCGGGAACUCUAACGAAACUGCCGGUGUAAACCGAGAGGAAGGUGGGAUGACGUCAAAUCAGCACGGCCCUUAUGUCCAGGGCUACACACGUGUUACAAUGGCCGGUACAGAGGGCAGCUACCUGGAGACAGGAUGCGAAUCUCGAAAGCCGGUCUCAGUUCGGAUCGGAGUCUGCAACUCGACUCCGUGAAGCUGGAUUCGCUAGUAAUCGCGCAUCAGCCAUGGCGCGGUGAAUACGUUCCCGGGCCUU
rnacentral:rRNA from 1 species